GUGUCCUUUUAAGACUGGUGCAGUGCCUUAAGAGAUUAACAGAGAGGGUAAAGGCAGUCUCUGAAAAAUUCAGAAAAGAUUAUAAAACUUCUCUUUGAGUGCUUUCUGGAGCUACAGUG
ensembl:snoRNA